rnacentral:rRNA from 1 species
GAUGAACGCUGGCGGCGUGCCUAAUACAUGCAAGUCGAGCGAACAGACGAGGAGCUUGCUCCUCUGACGUUAGCGGCGGACGGGUGAGUAACACGUGGAUAACCUAUCUAUAAGACUGGGAUAACUUCGGGAAACCGGAGCUAAUACCGGAUAACAUAUUGAACCGCAUGGUUCAACAGUGAAAGACGGUCUUGCUGUCACUUAUAGAUGGAUCCGCGCCGCAUUAGCUAGUUGGUAAGGUAACGGCUUACCAAGGCAACGAUGCGUAGCCGACCUGAGAGGGUGAUCGGCCACACUGGAACUGAGACACGGUCCAGACUCCUACGGGAGGCAGCAGUAGGGAAUCUUCCGCAAUGGGCGAAAGCCUGACGGAGCAACGCCGCGUGAGUGAAGAAGGUCUUCGGAUCGUAAAACUCUGUUAUUAGGGAAGAACAAAUGUGUAAGUAACUAUGCACGUCUUGACGGUACCUAAUCAGAAAGCCACGGCUAACUACGUG